rnacentral:lncRNA from 1 species
ACUUUAUUUUCAACAAAAAAAGCACUCCAAUAAUUAACUGAUGGAGGAGUCCGGCUACUAUACUUUUAUGAGUAUUAGUUUUUUUAUAUUCAUAAGUUUUCGGUUCUUAGAUUUAUUCUAUUGAUCAUUUGCACCCGUUAGAUCAUACUAUUCAACCAACUAACCACUCAACCCUAGGAGACCAUUAUCAUUUUAAGUGGGGACCACCAUCAUCCUAACCACACAUUCUAUCGAUCAAAAGUUAGAAAUUUAUGAGUAGAAGGGGGUCUAUACUCAUAAGAGUAUAGC